AGUGAACGCUGGCGGCGUGCUUAACACAUGCAAGUCGAACGAGAACGGAUUAUAGCUUGCUAUAAUUGUCAGCUAAGUGGCGCACGGGUGAGUAAUAUAUAGGUAACGUGCCCCAAAGAAGAGGAUAACAGAUGGAAACGUCUGCUAAGACUCUAUAUGCCUUUAUGACAAAAGUCAGCAAGGGAAAUAUUUAUAGCUUUGGGAUCGGCCUGUACGGUAUCAGUUAGUUGGUGAGGUAAUGGCUCACCAAGACAAUGACGCUUAACUGGUUUGAGAGGAUGAUCAGUCACACUGGAACUGAGACACGGUCCAGACUCCUACGGGAGGCAGCAGUGGGGAAUAUUGCACAAUGGACGAAAGUCUGAUGCAGCAACGCCGCGUGGAGGAUGACACAUUUCGGUGCGUAAACUCCUUUUAUAUAGGAAGAUAAUGACGGUACUAUAUGAAUAAGCACCGGCUAACUCCGU
rnacentral:rRNA from 1 species